CCCUUAGAUGUCCUGGGCCGCACGCGCGUUACACUGACAGAUGCAUCAAGCGGUUCACCUUGGCCGACAGGCCCGGGUAAUCUUUGUAAACUCUGUCGUGCUGGGGAUAGAUCAUUGCAAUUAUUGAUCUUCAACGAGGAAUUCCUAGUAAGCGUGAGUCAUCAGCUCGCGUUGAUUACGUCCCUGCCCUUUGUACACACCGCCCGUCGCUCCUACCGAUUGAAUGAUCCGAUGAAUACCAUGGAUUGAGAGUACGAAUAGGUUCGCUUAUUUCUGCUUCUCGAGAAGUGGAGUAAAUCUUAUCAUUUAGAGGAAGGAGAAGUCGUAACA
rnacentral:rRNA from 1 species